GAUACACUGAUGGGGAGUAUAACUUGAUGUUUCCAACCUGUAGAAACCGACUUGAAUGCCGAUUUCGAAUCCAGAAAGAAACGUCAACAUGUGGCAGCAGCUUCUUUCCGGAAUUCCCUCUCUUUCCUCAGACUGGAGUACAAAGAACAUACUCAUCCAGUCCUCAAGAGUCUCAUCCCGUCACCGCACCAGCUUGAAGCCCAGCAUCUCGUCAUCCGAGCGUGGCCCAGGCGAGAGGCUCCACAGGUCUAGUUCCUCAAG